GUUCUAUUGAAUUUAGCAGGAAAGCAGAACUUCAGAACACGAUAUUUUACGCAGAAGACAAGAAAAAAGUAAACAAGCCUGUUAGUGUUUGACUUGUGAGUGUAUUAUCCCUAAGCACUUGGAUUUAAGAGCCGAGUUUGUUUUCUGUGAGAGGAGUCUCUGUGGGUGAGCAGAAGGACAGCCUGGCUCAUUAAGGCUCAUACAGAAGUUAGAGUUCUGCUAGGGAUCUCUUUCUCUGUCCCAUCCUAGCUCUGCAUCAGUCUCCAUGUGCAGCUCACCCUCUCUAGAGCUGUCUUGCCUAAUAACAGUGCACGGUAACAGAGAGACGAGGCAAAGCUGCAGGAGCUCUGUCAACAGCAAUUCUCCCUGCUAAAGGAGGGCAGCUGCAGCCACUCUGGAGAGAGUUUCUCACACACAAUGCAAGUCAGGAUGUGGUUGCUGUUAUGUUUCAUAGCAGAAUAAUGGUGUUGAAGAUGGUUUGUUUUCUGCUCCUCAUCCUUAAUAAAAAAAAGAUAGAUCAAUAUAAAUGCCUUCACUGUGAAAGAAGCAUGAGCUUUGUUACAGCCACCAACAGAUAAGAAUCAUUUCCCAGGUAUAUAACCUGCUGAAGGAGUGCUUAUUCAACUGUAGAGGAAAUAUACUAACAUAUUCUGCUUUAUGCCAGAGAUAAAACAGAAAAUGCCCAUACCACUGAGACACAGUCAGUCAAAGGAGGGAGAGAAUGACAGAUGGAACAAAGAAAAGUUGAGAGAAUAUGCUGAAGAUUCAGCCUUUCUUCAUCAGAGCCUGGAGAUGCAGCAGAUUUUUCUGUUUUGAGAAGGAGAGGGAGGAAGAUGCAUUGCCUACAACACCUCGGAAGAAAUCUGCUGGGAGCACUCACGCUGCAGGGACAGCCAUCAGGACUGCAAUUCAGGCACAGCUCCUCACAGUCCUGACCUGCUGCAUUCUCUGAGGGGUCUGGGAUGCCAAACUGGAAGAAGAAAAUCCACAGAAAAAACUGUAAUAUACUGUUGGAACUUUUCAUUGCCCAAACACAACCUCAUAUAUUCCAGGUUCUACAUAUUCUAUUUUUUUUGAGGAGG
rnacentral:lncRNA from 1 species